GCCAAACAGCUAGCUCAAUUACCCAAUAACUAAAUAGUAUAAAUAAAACAAAAUAAGCCUAACACCAAAAAUUAAAUCAUUCUUUUACCUUAGUAUGGGCGACAGAAAAGGUUACACCCGGAGCAAUAGAAAAAGUACCGCAAGGGAAAGCUGAAAGAGAAAUGAAAUAACUUAUAUAAGCACCAAAAAGCAAAGAUUAAAUCUUGUACCUUUCGCAUCAUGAUUUAGCCAGUAUAUCCAAGCAGAGAGACCUUUAGUUUGAAACCCCGAAACCAAGUGAGCUACCCCGAGACAGCCUAUUAAGGGCCAACCCGUCUCUGUGGCAAAAGAGUGGGAAGAGCUCCGGGUAGAGGUGAUAGACCUACCGAACUUGGUGAUAGCUGGUUGCCUAAGAAAUGAAUAGAAGUUCAGCCUCGUACUCCCCGAAUCAAAAGGUAUAAAAAGAUAUUAGAGGGAAAUAUAUGAGAGUUAGUUGAAGGGGGUACAGCCCCUUUAACAAAGGACACAACCUUUCCAGGAGGAUAAAGAUCAUAAUACAUAAGACAUCCUGUUCUAGUGGGCCUAAAGGCAGCCAUCUAAACAGAAAGCGUUAAAGCUCAGACAGAAAUAAGUUUAUUAUUCCGACAAGGAAUCUUACUCCCCUAAAUAUUAUUAGGCCAGCCCAUGCCCACAUGGGAGAGACUAUGCUAAAAUGAGUAACAAGAAGGCCAGCCCUUCUCCAAGCACAAGUGUAAGCCAAACCGGACCGACCAUUGGCAAUUAACGAACUCAACCCAAGAGAGUAAUGUGUAUUACAACAAGACCAGGAAGAGCCCACAAUUAAUCCAUCGUUACCCCCACACUGGUGUGCUAUUAAAGGAAAGACUAAAAGAAGGGAAAGGAACUCGGCAAACGCAAGCCUCGCCUGUUUACCAAAAACAUCGCCUCCUGCAACACAACCAAGUAUAGGAGGUCCAGCCUGCCCAGUGACUACAAGUUCAACGGCCGCGGUAUUUUGACCGUGCAAAGGUAGCGCAAUCACUUGUCUCUUAAAUGGAGACCUGUAUGAAUGGCUAAACGAGGGCUUAACUGUCUCCCCCCUCCAGUCAGUGAAAUUGAUCUACCCGUGCAGAAGCGGG
rnacentral:rRNA from 1 species